rnacentral:lncRNA from 1 species
UAUACUGAGCCGGCUUGUGCACGAUCCAGUUGGUUGCCUCCUGUCAGGAUGCUGAAGACACCAGCCUUCCUGUGUUCAGUACAGCGCUGUCUACAAGGGUGUGCUGUGAUGGCCACUGACGGACAAGUGGGUAAAGAAAAUGCUCUACAUGUGGUGUUCCAUUGUUGAAGAGAAGGAAAGUCUACAGUGUGUGACAGAGGUGGAUAAUGGGUGGGGACGCUAAGUGAAACAAGUCGGAUAAGCAGAAAAGCGAGCAUUGGCUGCUUGCCUGCAGGAGGGCAUCCGAACCAGGUUCUUGAACCGUAAGUGCAGCGUGGUUCGAGGACCGAGGCAGAACUCUUCUUCUCCACCCAGGGCUCAUCGACUGAGUAGAUGGUAGAAUCGAUCCACACUGAUGCGGGGGGACAGGAACUGCCGUGUUCUCUUCAGCAGCCUUGUGUCUUUCAGGCAUGAAAUCAUCAACAUCAACCUGAAGAAUAAGCCCGAGUGGUUCUUUGAGAAGAAUCCCUUUGGGCUGGUGCCGGUUCUGGAGAACACUCAGGGUCACUUGAUCACUGAAUCUGUCAUCACUUGCGAGUACCUGGAUGAAGCAUACCCGGAGAAGAAGUUAUUCCCAGAUGACCCGUACGAGAAAGCUUGCCAGAAGAUGACCUUUGAGUUAUUCUCAAAGGUG